ensembl:lncRNA
UGUCAUGUAGCCUAAUGUAGCCCUUUGAUUAUGAUACAAAACAGAAAAUACUUAACAGAUUGUAAUAUAUAUCAUUGCAUUGCAUUUGGACACAGUAUUUUUAUAUGUUGAAAUGGAAAAAGGGGUGUUUGAAUCCUGGCAUGGGAGAGACUACACAGGCGUUGUAUUGGGUCUGUAGACUGAAGCAACAUCUUGCUGUUCUUCUCUCCUGCCUGAUCUAAAGCUGCCAAAACCAGUCAGCCAACCUAUUGCCAGUCUAAUACACAGUGUCGUCACGGCGACGUUAAAUGACUGUGAUGUCAUUGUUCUUAUUACAUGUUGUCUACCUACUUGGUGAAUAUAAUAUCAUCAGUGAUUUGCUUCAGAUUAUGUGUAGUGAUGUUUUAUUUAUUUCAAUAAAAGACAGGAUUUUCUCUCUUCCACCGUAAACAUGUUGUCAUUUUUCUCACUGGCCUUUGACCUGGAUGUGUGUGACCUUUACCCUAAACCUGUCAGUUCAGUGGUUUGUGCAGGGGAGAGAAGAGGUCACGGAGCCUAUGAGCUAUGACAGAUCUUAGUUAAUCUCCCCUGAAGAGAGUGAUGGGGAAAGAGGGAGAAUGACUGAGUGGAGGACAACCAAAGCAAAUGAAAGGAGGAGGAGUGGGGGAGAUGGAGGACAGGGUAGAAAGAGUGAAAGGAGAGGGGACGAGAGAAAGCCAGAAGAGGAGUUAGAAAGAUCAGCCUUGUUCCCUGGCAGUGUCUCGGGGAGAGGAGAGAGAGAUCAGCCUUCCUUGUUCCCUGGCAGUGUCUCGGGGAGAGGAGAGAAAAAGAUCAGCCUUGAUCCCUGGCAGUGUAUCGGGGAGAGAGAGAGAUCAGCCUUGUUCCCUGGCAGUGUAUCGGGGAGAGGAGAGAGAGAUCAGCCUUGAUCCCUGGCAGUGUCUCGGGGAGGAGAGAGAGAUCAGCCUUGUUCCCUGGCAGUGUCUCGUGGGGCCGUAGGGUAAAACCCUCCCAAACCCCUGAGUUCAGGCUGUUUAAUGAAACUGUGAUUUAUAUGGAACCUGAACCAUAAACCAUAAUAUAUCCCCCUCUGUGUGAUUGGUUCAGCCAGGCCCCUACCACCCCUGUGAAAGCUCAGAGACACACACACAAAAGCGUACGAACACAGGCACACAAACGCGUACACACA